CGCCUCAGUCAUUUUCUCUUUUCGUGUCACGCCACUCCCAAGCGCUAGGGACAUGGAUGUUCCGAACCCUUCGUCCCCUGUCCAUCAUUUCAAGGCCGUCCUUUAUGAACGAAUGAGUCUCACUUGAUUUCUCGAACGACAAAACACUGAAUACAGCGUCUCUCUUUAUCAGAUGAUAUUACUCAAUGCAUUAUUCAGACGAUUUCCGAUAGAGUUUCCUGCCCUGGUGUCCAUUACAAGCGGAAAGAGGGCAUAAAAUGGACGUGGCAAGACGCCUCCUCUUCUUACAAUGUUGAAAAUCUCAGAGCGUAGGUGGGAUUUUUUUGCUUUUGAUACGACCGACCUACCUUCAAUGUCGGUACUAUCACUCUUUUCUUGAAUGGUGAAGAAUGUAGGGAGAAAACAGGCACCUAGCUGUACAACUGUAGGGCGGCCGUGUGGGAUACCCCUUGCAUAUACAUCUGGUCGUUUCCCUUCAACCGACGCAGUACCGCAGCUAAUAGCGGCUGAGGAAAGCGAUUCCAUUAUUUCAUCGCCUGCCAAUCUCCAUCACGGUUCUGCGUCUCAGAUCUCUGUCAAAUGUAUUGCCUCUACAUCAUCACUUGCUUCCUUCUCACCGCUGUCCCCGACAUCCUUACCUUUCAUGAAUCAUUUCUUCGUCUCGUGCCUUUGGGAGCCCCCUAAAUUAUCAAUCCGAUCAUUAUGAUGAUCAAAUCAGAGAAAUACGAUGUGGGAAAUGCUUAUUGCAGGGCCUUGCGUAUAUGGCAGGCGCUUAUGAUACCUGCGGCAAUGUCCUUUCCUACUUGUGAUAUGGAAGUAGGUUCGUUCAUGGGAUUGAUCUGGACGAAGAUAAUAUUCUUUUCGAAAGCAAAGAUUAAAGAGGCAAACCCUUUUUCCUUGAUAGUACUUACAAGCUUAUCAAGUAUUUUGGAGAUGAAACACUACUUCACUCGUUG
rnacentral:sRNA from 1 species